AUGCCCUCAUACCUUGAGGGACAUGAUCAUCAGUAGCCCAAUGUCCCUCUUGAUGGCAA
rnacentral:pre_miRNA from 1 species